CAUUUUUUUGGUGGUCUGGGUGAGUAUGUUGUGUUGGAAAACCUCCCCAACCUAGUUGAAACAAUCAUUGAACUUGAAGAUAAUGAUUCAAAUACUGUAGAUUAUACAAAUAAGAUAUGGGACUUCAUGGAUUCACUCUAUAACGUUGUAUCCAUGAAAUUCAACCUAGAAACCGCCAAGAUCCUCUGCUAUGGUCCUAUGGAUGGUCUUCCCAUGUUUGAUAAUUUGACUUCCUUGACAUUUGAGGGUAAUAUCUGGCCUUCCUAUUAUAUGUGGCCUGCAGUACAUCUCUUGCUUUGUCAGGCUCCAAAGCUACAAACACUUGGCUUUGAAUUGACAUUCCUAGGUGGCCACAAUGGUUGCCCACCUGACCAUCACUUGGAGAAGACGCAUUAUGUUCCUGAAUGUCUGUCAUCACAUCUUACAACCUGUUAUUAUAAAGGAUUUUCAGGGCAUGAGGUUGAGAUGGAACUUGUUUGACAAGUCUUGAAGGAAGCUUAUAUAUUAAAGACAAUGAAUAUCACUUUUGAAAGUCGUCUAGACUCAGAGAUAAAGCUUCAUGCUUGCAAGAAAUUAAGAAAGCUUCAAAGGAGGUAUCCUACUUGUGAAAUUGAAUUUAACUAAGGACAAUUCGAUUUUUAAGUUCUCUUUCUUAAUUUGUGAGAAGCAAUAGCUUUGUGGGAAUGCCCAUUACUCUUUGCAUCUUUCAUUUGAAACUUCAGUGGAUUCAAGAUUAGAAUAUUUGUUUAAUGUUUAAAUUCUCUGUACUUGUAUUUUUCUUUCAAAAAGGAAAAAAAAAAAAAAGCAUAGAAUAUAUUGUGCUUGCUAUAUCCACAAAGUUACAAACAUGUUUCAUUACAUGGAGGCCCCAUGCAGCUUAUAGAAGUGAGAGCAGCCGUCAUGGUGCAGACUCAAUUUUGCUCUGAGGGUUGUUAAAGGUGGUAGAGGGAGCUUGUUUUGUUAAGAUAUCAAUCUUUAUUUCUUUAGUUGGUUUCUGCUUGAGCGAUUUGGUGGGAAAAAUUAGCUUCCUAAGCCCAUCGCAUAUGCUUCUCUUUGUUUGUAAAAGUGGUGUCAAAGGUGGAGCAAAUUUUGUGGGCUUUUGAAGAUGCUUCUACUAAUGACUUCUAUUGUUAUCUUGUUUACAGUUUUUACCCCAUUCUUGCAUUAGUUCACUUGUGUCUAGAGACUUGGUCCCUGGCUUCUCUAUAAAUUCUAUCACUCCAAUCUUUGUUGCAGAUUAUGUUUCUUUGAGUGGUAUGGAGACCUUCAUGAAUCAUUUCAUAUUUUCCAGCUUAGUGAUGUAUUGGAUUAUGGUACAGCAGAUUUUUAGAAAAUGAUGGUAUGAGAGUAUUAGAAAAUAUUGUUUUGCCUAAUGCCUUUGCAGAUUUACUUGUUAAACCAAUGAAAAGCCUUGUUCUUGCUAGUGAUGAACUUGAAAAUUCGGAAGAAUUAUCUUGAACCUGCUGAUGAAAAAGAUAAAUCUAAAAAGAAAGGCACUUAGAAAACAAAAAUAGUUUAGCUAGAACCAAUACCAGAAUUCCUAAAGAGGGAUUGUAUGGCUAAUCUCUGUGUAGUGGGUGGUCAAUGAUCACAUAUUAAAUGGUAUUGCUAUUUAGUGCAUUUUUUAAGGUAAAUAUGUUGAUAGCUUAUAGUAUUUUUUUUCCACUUUCUUUGAUCACAAUGAAAUAAAGUUUAAUGAUUCUGCACAAAAAAAUAAAAAAGGUGUGGCUAUUCAGUUGGUGUCUACAGAAUUAUAAAAUUUGCUCAUGUCAUUCAUCUUUACUUUACAAUUAUGGCAGUUGUGGCCUGAGAAAUUUCAAAAUAAAGCCUAUGGGGUGACACCAAGAAGGCGGAUCAGCUUUGCAAUCCAGAAUUAAGUAAAAUUGUAACUGAAUGUACUUGUUCAGAAGACUGGGUUUUAAGUAAUGAAAAACUGGCAGAGUUACAAAAGCUAAUCCACCAUAACGAAAUUUCUUGCUUGUAUUGUCAUGGUGCAGAAUCAAUUUUGCUCUGAGGGUUGUUGAAGGUGGUAAAAAGGGGGAUUCUUUUGUUAAUAUUUCAAUCUUUAUUUCCUUAAAUGGUUUCAGUUUGAGUGAUUUGGUGGGAAAAAUUAGCUUUCAAAGGUGGAAUGCUUUUACUGAUGGCUUCUAUUGUUAUCUUUUUUACAGUUUUUACCUUAUUCAUGUCUUAGUUCACUUAUGAAUGGAGACUUGGUGCUCUGGCUUCUCUAUACAUUUUAUACCUACAAUCUUUGUUGAAGAUUAUGUUUCUUCAAAUGAUACGGGGAACUUCUUUACGAAUCAUUCAACAUUCUCAAUUAUACGAUUCAAAUGAUGUGGCAAUUACUUCAUUCCUCUUGAAUAUUGCAUGUCACCUGCUUUGAUUUAAUAUCUUGUGGUGAGGCCAUAUGCAUAUGUAAUUAGGUCCAUGUUUGUGCAUCUCAUUUUCUGUCUUUGCUAUUUUGGAGUUGAUUCCUAUGCUUUAGGGGCAAAAUGCUUUAAGAUUUAAUUUGUAUCUACCAUCUCCUUCAAUUUUGCUAGUUUUUAGUUAGCAUGUUUUCAUUUUAUUAUUUUUUUCUCGUGAUAUAGAAUGUGCUUGCUGAUUUCUUGUUCUCCUGGAGCUUCUUCUUCUUCUUCUUUCCUCCCCAAAUAUUUGAUCGAUAAAAUCUUUUUGUAUUCUUGCUAAGAUGAGAUUAGGGACCAAGUCUCUAGACACGAGUGAACUAAUGAAUCACAACAGUUCUAGUGCAACCUUAAUAUCUUUUGGUGUGGCUAUAUGCAUAUAUAAUAAGGUCCAUGUUUAUGUGAUUCAUUUUUUGUCUUUGCCAUGUUGGAGUUUAUCCCUAUGCUACAGAGGCGUCCUUCAAAUAUGCUAGUUUUUGAUAAGCAUGUUUUCAAUUUGGGAUUUUCCCCCCUUAAUAUAGCAUAAAUUUGCUGAUUACUGGUUCUCCCUAAGCUUCUUCUUUAUUCCUUUUUUCUGCCAGAAUAUCCGAUUGAUAAAAUUUUAUUGUAUCCUUGCUAAGAUGACGAAUGUGAAUAUAGGUUAUAAAUUUUCAUUUGCUAUGCUUCUCAUAAGCUGCUUGACUUUUAUGUAUUUGAUUUUUUUUUAAAGAAGAAAAAACUCUAGCUGUGUAUAUAAAUCUUUAUACUUUGUUUUCAAACAAUAGCUAGUCAAUAGUAAUCAUAGGUGCAAAGAGCUUACUACUUGCACGCACUUAUCUUGUAAUAAGGAGUAGGAACCUUAUUGAUACCCUCCACCAUGAAUGGAACCAUGAAGCCAGUUGGAAGAUUUUUGUGGCUGGUUGACUUGCAAACCAUUAAGGAAAAUCGCUUGAGUACUACAAGAACAGAGCAUAAACUCAUUUGAGCAAGCACUAAAACUGGUAGGUUUACAGUAAGGAGUGCCUAUUGGGUUUAAUUCAUUCAUGGAAGAGCCAAAGUGAAGGAGAAAACUCAGAUAAUCAAUGAUGACAAAGUUUCUAGAAUUGUUUUUGCUGAACAAAAAUUCCUAACAAUGUAACGGAUUUCGGGAGGAGAGAUUGCUGGAAAGAAUUUUAGCAAGAAGACGUGUUCAGGUCGAUCCAAACUAUGAAUGAUGCAAUGAGAAUUUGGAAAGGGUUCUACGCACUUUGUGGUUAGAGAAUGAUCCAAGCUAUGAAUGAUGCAAGGAGGUUUAGAACAAUUUUCCACAGUUGCUUCAGUAUGUUAGAGAAGUCCCCAUUAACUUUUCUCUUUUCAACGAUCUAAUGCUUGGACUAUGGCAGUGGGCAGGAGUUUGAGCUAUUUCUAAUGGUGGCUUGGUCAAUCUGUUGUUCUAGGAAUGUGUUUUAAGUUUGAAGAUGCUCCGAGAGUCCAAUUUUCAAAUGCAAAGGCACUGCUGCAGGAGUUCAAAAGAGUUCACGAACGGUCAAAGGUGGUUAGAUUCUCCCGGAUAGCACAAUGGAGUACAUAGCAACAGGUAAUCUACAAAAUCAAUUCUGAAGGAGCUCUGUUUAUAGAUACCCCAAUGGUCAGGAUUUGGUUUGGUGCUCUGUUGAAAAAGGCCUUGUGUUGUUGCGGGGUAAGCCUACGUGAUCUAGAGGAAGUUGAACUUAUUGCAGCAUUAUAGGCCCUUCGGUUUGCACAUAAAAUGAAGGGUGAUUGUAAAAACUUGUUGGAGCAAUUGUUCAUGGCGUAAAUGCACUUUUAGUCCCUACAUUUUGACCUUUUUUCCAUUUUAGUCCCUACAUUUUAUUUUUUCCA